GCUAUUUGAUGUAAAAUGUAUGUAGUCCCAGCUACUGGGGAGGCUGAGAUGGGAGAAUAGCUUGAGCCCAGGAGUUUUGGGGCUGUAGUGCGCUAUGCCGAUCAGGUGUCUGCACUAAGUUCAGCAUCAAUAUGGUGACCUCUUGGGAGCGGGGGACCACCAGGUUGCCUAAGGAGGGGUGAACCGGCCCAGGUCAGAAACGGAGCAGGUCAAAGCUCCUGUGCUGAUCAGUGGUGGGAUUGCGUCUGUAAAUGGCCACUGCACUCCAGCCUGAGCAACAUAGUGAUAUCCCGUUUCA
rnacentral:SRP_RNA from 1 species